CAAACCUCAAGCGUUUGCUUGCUGUUGGGGCGUUGCGUGCUCUCCCUGGGGAAUUUCCCCAGGGAACGCAAGCCCUGAAUUAUAGUGGCGGAGCUGCUGUAGACUCUGAGCGUAGUAAUACUAUUCGCUUCUGGAAUCUCGGCGGUUACCUGCCGUAAAACCCACUAUAUUUUUUCUCUU
rnacentral:misc_RNA from 1 species